rnacentral:rRNA from 1 species
AUUGAACGCUGGCGGCAGGCCUAACACGUGCAAGUCGAACGGUAGCACAGAGAGCUUGCUCUCGGGUGACGAGUGGCGGACGGGUGAGUAACGUCUGGGAAACUGCCCGAUGGAGGGAGAUAACUACUGGAAACGGUAGCUAAUACCGCAUAACGUCGCCAGACCAAAGUGGGGGACCUUCGGGCCUCACACCAUCGGAUGUGCCCAGAUGGGAUUAGCUAGUAGGCGGGGUAAGGGCUCACCUAGGCGACGAUCCCUAGCUGGUCUGAGAGGAUGACCAGCCACACUGGAACUGAGACACGGUCCAGACUCCUACGGGAGGCAGCAUUGGGGAAUAUUGCACAAUGGGCGCAAGCCUGAUGCAGCCAAGCCGCGUGUAAGAAGAAGGCCUUCGGGUUGUAAAGUACUUUCAGCGGGGAGGAAGGCGGUGAAGUUAAUAGCUUCACCGAUUGACGUUACCCGCAGAAGAAGCACCGGCUAACUCCGUGCCAGCCGCCGCCGUAA